CUUUCUAAGGGUACCAGGUAAAUGAGAGGUGGGGUCUAACGCUGAUGAUGGAGUUGUUCUCAGUGACCUCCAGAGCUCCUAAUAUCUGCCUUACAACCCGACUUUCACACUGGUUCAUUUUCUCUCCUAUUCCUUUAAUUAGGAAUUUCUGGAUCUUUGAAUCACUGCAGAAGUGGAAUCCACCACUCUACUCCUAACCAAACAAAGUAUCUAAGCUGUAAGUGAGGUUAGUCACAUCACAUGAGAAAUUUUGUUGUGUGUGAUUUGUGGUUUAUAAUGCUGUCCUCGAUGCUGGGUGCAGUGGCACAUCUCUUCAAUCCCCAAUUCCACUGGGGAGUUAGAAGCGGGUAUGUCAGGACUUUAAGGCCAGGCUGGACUGUAUGGGACCCUAUUUCAAAAACAAACAAACAACAGACACACAGACACACAGACACACAGACACACACACAAACAGACAGAAAAACAGGCAAACAGACAGACAGCUAACGAUAAAUGCAUUGUUCAUUAAUCUCCCGAAAACUCAUAGCCUCAUUUUAUAACCAGGACACUCGCAGUAGCUUGCCUUUAGGUCUAUGGCAAGGAUUAAACAAGAGGAGUACGGUGUCGCUGAGCACAGGGACUGAUGUAAGUAAUCGUCCAGUCAAGCUGUGAUUUCCUAACAGGUCAGUCAAAAGCUGAGUGGUUUUGUCAGCGAGCAGAUUAGUCCUUCCGGUGGGUAUGGCUUUCACGGCUGCUGAUUGUUCCCCUUCCAGAAGCUUUUACACAGACUCUGAGAGCAAGCUUGCCCGCUAAGUAAAAAAAAAAAAAAAAAAAAAUGUGAUUCCGUUUAUAAUAUUUCUAUUUUUGCCCAGUUGUUUUUAGAACCCUCUUUUUCUAUCAGUUGAGGAAUUGGACCAGAUAAGCUGUGAUAUGCUUUGCCAAUUAAAAAAAAAAAAGCAUUUUCACGGUUAUAUAAGACGAGGAAACUGUGUCUGUCUACUCAAGUAUCUUUGGGGCUCAAAAAUAAACAAAAGCAGAUUAACAUUUUAUAGAGCAUAGUUUUUAGACGGAGGGAGCUGAGCCAAACACUUAACCUUCAGCAAUGACAGCCUUGUCAAUGACGAGGUCGUUUGUAUGCGGCGUGCGAUUCAGAGGGAAAACAUGCCUUCUAUCUCAUUCAGCUAACCUUAGCCUCAGGUGGACUCUUCCGACAAGGGCAGAAAGCAGCCACAUUCUUCACCAAAGAUACCACGACAGUCUCUAGGCCACAUACUAAAGUUCUUCUCCACUGAAACCCCUUGGGCCAGGUCUGCACAGUUCAAAUCACCCUCAGCCACAAAGUCUUCC
rnacentral:lncRNA from 1 species